rnacentral:rRNA from 1 species
UUAUUAUGAGAGUUUGAUCCUGGCUCAGGACGAACGCUGGCGGCGUGCCUAAUACAUGCAAGUCGAACGCUUCUUUCCUCCCGAGUGCUUGCACUCAUUUGGAAAGAGGAGUGGCGGACGGGUGAGUAACACGUGGGUAACCUACCCAUCAGAGGGGGAUAACACUUGGAAACAGGUGCUAAUACCGCAUAACAGUUUAUGCCGCAUGGCAUAAGAGUGAAAGGCGCUUUCGGGUGUCACUGAUGGAUGGACCCGCGGU